ACAGAGGGUGCAAACGUUGUUCGGAAUUACUGGGCGUAAAGCGCGUGUAGGCUGCAUGGCAAGUCGGAUGUGAAAGCCCUGGGCUCAACCCAGGAAGUGCACUCGAAACUGCCAAGCUCGAGUCCUGGAGAGGAAGGCGGAAUUCUCGGUGUAGAGGUGAAAUUCGUAGAUAUCGAGAGGAACACCUGUGGCGAAGGCGGCCUUCUGGACAGUGACUGACGCUGAGACGCGAAAGCGUGGGGAGCAAACAGG
rnacentral:rRNA from 1 species